rnacentral:rRNA from 1 species
GGGGAAUCUUCCGCAAUGGACGAAAGUCUGACGGAGCAACGCCGCGUGAGUGAUGACGGCCUUCGGGUUGUAAAGCUCUGUUAAUCGGGACGAAUGGCUCUUGUGCGAAUAGUGCGAGGAUUUGACGGUACCGGAAUAGAAAGCCACGGCUAACUACGUGCCAGCAGCCGCGGUAAUACGUAGGUGGCAAGCGUUGUCCGGAAUUAUUGGGCGUAAAGCGCGCGCAGGCGGAUUGGUCAGUCUGUCUUAAAAGUUCGGGGCUUAACCCCGUGAUGGGAUGGAAACUGCCAAUCUAGAGUAUCGGAGAGGAAAGUGGAAUUCCUAGUGUAGCGGUGAAAUGCGUAGAUAUUAGGAAGAACACCAGUGGCGAAGGCGACUUUCUGGACGAAAACUGACGCUGAGGCGCGAAAGCCAGGGGAGCGAACGGGAUUAGAUACCCCGGUAGUCCUGGCCGUAAACGAUGGGUACUAGGUGUAGGAGGUAUCGACCCCUUCUGUGCCGGGGUUAACGCAAUAAGUACCCCGCCUGGGGAGUACGACCGCAAGGUUG